rnacentral:lncRNA from 1 species
AAUUAUUUUGGAGGUGGCUUUGUGCUUUACUCCUUUAAUUUAUCAUAUUCUCAAGUUUUAUCUCAGUCUUUUAUCACAAUAAUUAUCAAGUUAGCCCUUUAUAAAGGAAAAACAUUCCUGAAAAGUUCUUAUAGGGAUUUGGUGGUUUAAGUGGAAGAAAAACAAUUUUUGCAAUACCAGUGGUAUUAUAUAGCUAUCAGCAUCUUUGGUGUGGGAGCCUCUGGUUAAGUCCCUACCCCUGCAGCACUCAGGGGCUCUAUUGAUUUAGAUAUUGCCUUGGAUUGUGUUCCAAAUGUUUUUGCCCCGUGGUUCUGUGCCGAUGGAUGUGUCCUUCAAGAGGAAGGUUGUCUCAGUAGAGAAGUGUUUGCUUUAGUGACUGAUUAGUUGAAAAGAGGGGGAUGAUUUUGCAACUAAACUGAGCUUGGAAGGUAAGUAUAUUCCACCCAGGCUAUAGAUAUUGGAAUGUCUUUGAAAACAAGUGUUUUAGGAAAACAGCGGGUGUCAAAUAGAGUGAACAUAUAGCGAGAGCUAAGGUUUAUCUGGGGGUUCGAUGCUGCCUUAUCUUUAAAGCCAACUGUAAGAAAAUAGUAUUGCCUGAGACAGCCGUUAAGACCGAAGCCUCAGUCUCUGCCCUGGUGUAGGUGGUUACUAAUGGGCAAGUCUUGUUGCCAGCCAGACUGAAAAAACAUGACAAUUUGCUGCCCAAAGCAGGGAAUUCUGGCACAUCCUGCGCUGUGCUGCAGACAAAUAACACCGGAGGAGGGAUGCAGAUACUGUUGGCUGAGGAGAAAUAACACAUCAAUCCGCUUCCCCACAAUCUUUUAGUGAACUCGACAUAACCCAAUUAUUUUGACUCAGUCUUUUUUUUUUUUUUUUUGUUUUUUUUCCCUUGCAGGAUGUACUCCCAAGCUCCUGUGAUGUUGUUCAGGUGCACCCACACGUUAUGGAUCCCAGGUGUGCCCAGGCACCUGGCCAGCUCAACCCAAAACAGAGGUGUUUUAGGUGUUUUCUUCAAAGCGGCGGAUUUACACAGCAAGAUGUAAACUGGUAAUUAUGGAAAAGCAAGUGAAAUGGAAGACGUUCCUUUUGAAAUCGGUGAGUAAAUAUUGGUUUAAAAACUUUGCUGAGCUUUGGAUGGCUCUUUAGCCCUUCCAGUCCACAAAGGAGUGGGCAAACAGGUCUGCCAGCCAGAUAUAUUUUCAGGAAGUAUAGAAAAGUCUCAUUAGACUUGUUUUAAGAGAAAACAGGGAGAUAUUUAUAAUGCCUGAUAGAAUAUUGAUAUAUUUAAAUGUGCUGAUAUGCGAGAUUUUAAGAAAUAGAAAAGGUGGUCAAAUUUUGCCCUCAUUGUAGUUCCGCUGAGACUGCACAAGGUAAUGCGUUGAGGAAAAAUUUAGCCAAAAGCAGUUUUGAGAGAAACUAUUAAAGUGCAGAUAAAUGAAGAUGUCUGGCUGACCAGAAGAAUCUGUAUUCAUGUGGCGAAUGUUUCAUUACUCACACUGUAAUGCUUUCUGAAGUAUAUUUUUGUAUCAUCAUUUCCCAUUUCAAAUUCAGCUCUUAAAUCCCAAAAGGGAAUUAACUACCAGCCAUUUGCAUUUUAAAGGAAAAACUCAAACCUCAAUAGAGUGCUCUACUUAAGACUCCUUUUAUAUAACUUGCCAAUGAGCUACAUCUCGGUGGGGACCUUGGGGAGUCAACCAAAUGACUGAGACAAGGCAGGAAAACCUAGAAUUGGAAGAAGCCUUGUAAUUUCCUCCAGAAAAUGCAGAACGUGCUGGUGUUGGUGUGAAGCUCCUGCAAACUGGAGGUUUUAUUAUGGGGCAAAAUGCCUUUACUUUUGGGGGGGGAAAAAAGGACCUUCAAGCUUUGGCAAACUGGGAUGCUAGAGCAGAGGUUACUCUUUUCCUGUGCGCGAGGGAAAAAUCAUAGCUUAAAGUGGCAAAAUAAAAAGAGCAAUUUUUAAUUCA